CAUGUCGUGUAUGGCAAAUGAAAUAUGAAAGUGAGUGAGGAACCGGCAGAAAAAUACGACAUCGUCGCGGCGAGGCAAAAAGCAAGGGUCUAACGGCAGAGAAUGAAAACGACAGGGAAAAGUCUCUCUUCUUGUCAUUGAACAAAGCUCUUAUCAGCGAUCACAAGCUCAGACAAGUCCCAUGGCGUCAAGCUCAGACGACGAUGACUUCGUUAUUCUCGUAUGCACAAAUCCCAACCCAAUCGAAGCAGAGACUAAGCAGAAAGAGAUUAACAUUUCUACCAGAGAUAUCCUAAGCUGGGAUUUGCCCACAAUUCUCAGUUACCAGACACUCAAAGUCCACGCAUCUCGAAUUAGGCUCGUUGAACAAUCUUCGUAUUUCCGAGGCCUCCUCAGCGGGAGCUUUAGUGAAUCAUGCCUGGAAUGUAUAUCAAUUCAGUGGAGCCUGGAAACAUUUGUGGAUGUUCUCAAGUGUAUUUAUGGGUGCACAUUGGAUGUUACAUCGAAUAAUAUCGUUCCUCUUUUUGAGGGUGCACUUUAUUUUGGGGUGGAGAGGCUUCUCUUGAAGUGUAGAGUUUGGUUUUCUGAGGUAUCUUCUUCCGAGGAUUCCGGGUCACCGCAAAUACAACUGGAUGAUUUAAUUCAUAUUUGGAGAUUUGGUUUAGAGUGCGCAAACGAUUUUCUUCCAGAAUUAUGUGCGAGCUAUCUUGCAAGGAACUUUAUGUGGGCCACGUCUAGCAAAUUUUUUAUAGAUGUUCCAUACAAGUUGCUUUUAUCUUGUACUCAGCAUCCCCACUUGACGAUUGACAGUGAGAUGCAUCUUUCUGAUGCACUUUUAGUUUGGGUUGAUGCUUAUGCGGAACAGUUGGAAAACUUCAGCAGAACUGGCAAUGAUUGUCAUAGCAUCUUUAGACAAGUCCGCAUUAGCCUUUUGCCUUUAUGGUUUGCUGCAGGGAAAAGAAGGUCUCGCCAUUUCUCUAAGCUUUUUGAGGAGAGCAUUGACUCAAUUUUUAGACUAAUGACUGUUCCACCCCCAUUUUCCGUGAAUUUCUUAGGAGAUGGUGACGUGCAGCAUCUCAGGAUUCGAUUAACGGAAUAUUCCAAGAAGGUGAACCUUUCAGGUUGUCCACAGAUAACAUUAGCCAUUAUGCUCCUUUCUGUGCUUCCUUCUUCACAUGCUGUGGAACCUGCAUUACGAAAUAUUGUUAAUCAGAUUUCCCUUAUCCUUGAAAGUCUCGAGGAGGGAGAUAAAUGUCUGAAUCUACUGUGUUUGCUGCCGAUGUCUUCCUUUGAAGCAGUGCAGGAGGUAGAUAUUUCCAAGUGUCAAAAGCUGCAUCUUGAAGCUGCCAUUAUGUGCUUCAGCAUGUCAUUUCCUUCUAUAAGAACACUGAAAGCAGCUUAUCUUUUGAAUGUCAAGACAACAAUUUUGCAUCAAUUGGUGCAGAACUUCCCUCUGCUCUGUGAAGUUGACUUAAGCAGUGAUAUUAGUCCUCUUAUACCAGCACAGGUGUCAGUUGUAUCCUCAAGUCCAGCUAUUACACUAUCACCAUCAAACAAGUUCUUUAGGGUUGUUGAUGAUCCUGUGGAUGUUACAUCAUCAAAAAGGUCUGGACUAUCAUUGUCAAAUAUCACAAAACUCACGCUGGAGGGCCGAAGUGAUCUCUGUGAUUUGGAUCUCCAGUAUAUCUCAAAAUUCCGCGCUUCCUUGCAAGACCUGAACCUUAAAGGGUGCAUAUCAUUAACAGAUGUUGGUAUAUCAAAUCUUCUAUGCAAAUGUAUGAAACUACACUCAAUUGUAGUCUGUGAUACUUCUUUUGGGAUUAAAUCAGUGCUGGCUCUUUGCUCUGGUAUUUCUGAUCAUGAUAACCAUCCUGCUGCCUGUGUUGGAUUGAAGCAUAAUUCUUUGGCAUUUAAUCUUCGAAAACUGCAUAUGGGUGGCUGCAAGGGUGUCGAUGAAACAUCUCUUCUAAAGCUUCUGUCUCAAACACAAAUGCUGAAGAGUCUUUGCUUGAGGGACGCUCACCUGGUUGACCAAGCUCUGCAUUGUUUCCCAGGUUCUUCCUUGGAGAUGCUUGAUGUUUCUAAUACUAUGGUUUCUGGAGCUGCGUUAGCUUGGAUAGUCCGUGGAAAUCCUGGUUUGAAGUGCUUGAAAGUGAGGGGCUGCAGAGAUAUGUGUCAACCAGAAAGUAACACCUCAGGGGGGGAAUUUUCAUCCUCGUAUACAUUUAAAGAACUGUAUGUUGAGUUAGGCAAGAAAUGCAGAUUAGAAGAAAUUGCACUAGGAUGGGGAUUCUCUUGCUUUUCUCUGGAAGCUCUCCAACCUGCUAUUAUGUCACUAAGGUCAAUAACUGUGGGUUUAGGUGGCUCAUUAGGUGAAAAUGGACUGAAGCAACUAUCCGCAACUUGUCCAAUGUUAGAGUCAGUAAUUUUUCAUUUUCAGGUCAUAUCUGACACUGUCAUAACGAACAUGAUGACAUCCUUGAGAAAUUUGCGAGUGUUGGCUUUGUGCUAUUGCCUUGGUGAUAUAUCUAUAUCAAGCUUCAACUUUUCUAUGCCAAAUCUGAAGAAAUUGCAGCUUGAAAGAGUAACCCCUUGGAUGACAAAUAAUGAUUUGGCUAUUCUGACUCAGAAUUGUGCAAACUUGGUUGAGCUUUCACUGCUAGGAUGUAAGCUUCUCAAUUCAGAUUCUCAACAGAUCAUCUCACAUGGAUGCCCAGGCUUGACUUCUAUCCAUCUAGAGGUGCUUCUGAUGGAGAUGAGUGAUGGUUAAAGCUCCAAGAGCACCUGCUGUCUUCUUCAUCUUCUUGCUCUUGUUGAGUUUCCUGAGAAAAAAAAAAAUAUAUAUAUAUAUAUGAAAAAACAAAAGAGAAUGGAAAACAAGAAAGAAAUUUGGUUUAAAUAGCCUGAGAAAAUCUUGAAUAAAACUCUCACAUUGGGCGUUUAGUGCUUCUAGCCAAAAUGCUUGCUCUGUGUUGAUGACAAAUGAUCUAAGCCACCGCUCCUCCCCUUGUAUCUUUUCUCAUAUGUAUGAUUUUUUUCGCUGCAUAGUCAUUUAGCAUGACAUGAUUGUCUACUUAUUCAUUCCCUGGAAUGCCUCUAGAGGUGUUACUUGUGCUAUUUCAACCAUCAAAGCUUUGGUUUAUUUUCAGUAUUUAGUACUCAUGAAAGUGUAGUGAGGUUUCUGCCCUUUCAGUGCUCAUGAAUGUUUCCAUAUUUAAUGGCAUUGUUGUAUAGGACUGUGGAGAAGUAACUUCAAAUGGGGUUUCUUCUCUUCUCGAUUGCAUGGCUCUUGAAGAUCUCUUGCUGCGUCAUAAUGGCCCUGGGAUACAGAAA